CGGACUCCGGGCGGGGGAGCUGCGCUUGUUUAGGAUCCGGAGGAGGUGGAGGAUGGGGAGAGGCACAGGCUGGGCCGCGGCCAGACAAAGUUCUCCAGACGAACAGAACCAAUGGAUGUGCAAAUGCAUGAAGAAGGGGAUUUGCUUCAAGGAAUUGGUUCACGCUGGCGGGAGGCUGGCAAUCCACUGGCUGGCAGGAAGCUGGGCGAGUGGAGGUGAGCCAUGCAGCGGUAGAGGCAAUGGGUUGAGAUGCUGAGCCACAGGAUUGAAGCAGCCUGGAUCUUUUCGUCAUUACAUGGACGAUCGGCUGCUGUGGAGAACUGGCUGAAGGAGAAAAAUCCGUUUUCAGUGUCUGAGAUUUGGGAACGGUUUGUUACUGUAACAUAAGCAGAGCCCAUUCUAACCAAGAGAGAGAUA